GGCAGUAUACAUUUACAUUUUUUUGUGUAUAUUACAGUCUAGAUGCCUUAACGUCACCAUAAUCUUUGACCUUAGGAUAUGAUUUUUCUUUUUGUGCCAUGAAAAAAUAUGUUCGUUACGACAUGCAUGUCUACAAUGCUAGAUAUAUGAUCCUGAUGUAUAGGCUAGCGGCACAUGAAAAGGAAAAAUAAAGGGAAAAAUUUUUAGACGAGUGCCUAACACAAUGGGAUGCCUAGUUCAGAUCUAUGCAUUGUUAAAAUUAACAGUUUUGCUAAAACACAUGUAGAUGAGCCAUAAGUAUUGCACAUCUAAGUCAUAUGUCAUUGAUCUUACAUCGAGAUUCAUGUGGAUAUUUUAUUUUUUCUUUCUUCUUUUUCUCUUUAUGCUUGAUUCACUCACUUAGAUGUACAAUAAGUAGAGCACAUCUAGAUGUGCCCUAGACACACCCAUUAACAUUAAUUAAAUCGAGUCUCUUAUGGUAAAAAGAAACGACAAGGAUUUUUCUUGAUCAUUGAGAUUAAACUGAACUGAUGUGAGCCUUCCCUCAACAAAAGGAUCAACUCUAGAAUAUUUAAGUGUUACAUGCGGUCUUCCAUCUCUAUAUGCUAAACUUUUAUUCUGUUUAUUUCAGUUGUUGGAUUGGCACUUGCCAUUCAAACCCAAUACUAAGCAAUGGACAGGGUGGUGACGAUUAAUCCAGUAACAUUGUCAUGGAAGGUAUUCACAUUAAGUUCAUAGAAAAUAUUAUGAGCCAGCAUGAAUCGUGGGAAGAUUAAGAUGGUAGUGACUAAAUCUUACGCAUGGCCUUCAACCUUUGUAUGUUGCUCCUUUUUUAUUUCUCUUUUGACCUGAUUUUUCUCUCUAAUAAUACUUUAUUCAUUCAUGUCAGUUCUUUGUUGCUGAAGAUUGCCAGGAUGAAUGGAUGAUGCAUGGCUAAGUUGUUGAUUGCAAGGUGGAGAAUGGGGCUGCUACCAUAUAGUUUUACACCAAAGUUGUAGAAUGUAAUUUUCAUGGUCAAUGUAUAGAAAAUCAUGUGUGGAUUCUUUGGAUUGUGUUAAUGUAAUGCAACCCGGUUGAUUUAAUAUAUGAAGUAUUUUUGGUCACUGGAUUGCUGCUCCUGUGCACUGUUGGUAUCGACCUAAUUAUUGUUCACAAUAUAUAAAAAUAGUAGUUCAUGCUACG
rnacentral:lncRNA from 1 species